rnacentral:rRNA from 1 species
UACGUAGGGGGCUAGCGUUAUCCGGAAUUACUGGGCGUAAAGGGUGCGUAGGUGGUUUCUUAAGUCAGAGGUGAAAGGCUACGGCUCAACCGUAGUAAGCCUUUGAAACUGGGAAACUUGAGUGCAGGAGAGGAGAGUGGAAUUCCUAGUGUAGCGGUGAAAUGCGUAGAUAUCGGGAAGAACACCCGUGGCGAAGGCGGCUCUCUGGAACGCAACUGACGCUGAGACGCGAAAGCGUGGGGAGCAAACAGG